GAAGGGGGCUAGCGUUGCUCGGAAUGACUGGGCGUAAAGGGCGCGCAGGCGGUUUGGGCAGUCAGAUGUGAAAUUCCCGGGCUUAACCUGGGGGCUGCAUUUGAUACGUUCAGACUAGAGUGUGAAAGAGGGUUGUGGAACUCCAAGUGUAGAGGUGAAAUUCGUAGAUAUUUGGAAGAACACCGGUGGCGAAGGCGGCGACCUGGUUCACAACUGACGCUGAGGCGCGAAAGCGUGGGGAGCAAACAGGAUUAGAUACCCUGGUAGUCCACGCUGUAAACGAUGUAUGCUAGAUGUUAGGCAACCUAGUUGUUUAGUGUCGGAGCUAACGCGAUAAGCAUACCGCCUGGGGAGUACGGCCGCAAGGUUG
rnacentral:rRNA from 1 species